AGUAUUGGAUGGAAUGUAGUAUAAAGUUAUCCUCUCUCCAACUGACCGGAUCUUGCGAUAAACACACCAGAACAUACACCACCCUUUACACUUGCCAGAAGUACAUCAACAAACUAGCCUCACUUCUGGAAUCUACCAACAACACUCACUUUAUCAAUAACUUGGUGCAGACCCGACUCAACAAGGAACAUUCCUCUGGAGAUGAAGUGUUCUCAAACUGGAAGAUUAAAACGAAGUGUUCUCAUUUGAGGGAGGGGGAUUAUAACUGGAUGUCUAAGAUAUCGCACCUCCAGAACAUUCAUCUCGCUACUUCCGAGCUGCUAAACUGGUUAUCUACACUUGGGGGCGGUUGGAGUGCGCUAGGGUGACUCGUCCCAGUUCGCAGCAGAGCAGUGCUUCACUGUUUCAGGUUCAGCAAACUCAGUCUCGUCAUAAACUUCAGUUCCUGAGCUCAUGUCUACUUGCUGGUUGUACGCAGCGCUCAGUUUAAUUCAGCUGAACCGCAGAAAGGAAGCCAAGCAGAUUAUCUUAUCUCAGUACCCGACAGUUAUGAGAUUUAAAAAUCAUCGUUAUCUCACCAGCCUAUAUUCUGCCACAGUCUUCAAAUACAAUGCCACCGCUGAUUUAAAUCUGAAGUAGACAUCAGUUACGAUCUUGUAGCUUCAUUUAAAUUAUGUGUUCUAUCCAAUAACUCUGCCUUCAAAAUUGGUUUAAUUUACACUUUACAAUAACGUUAUAUUGGUUUUGUAUGUAUUUUUCAGUUUGGUAUAUGCAUUUAAUUUAUUUUGUUUAAA